AUUGAACGCUGGCGGCAUGCCUUACACAUGCAAGUCGAACGGCAGCGCGGGGCAACCUGGCGGCGAGUGGCGAACGGGUGAGUAAUAUAUCGGAACAUACCCUAGAGUGGGGGAUAACGUAGCGAAAGUUACGCUAAUACCGCAUACGCACUAAGGUGGAAAGUGGGGGAUCUUCGGACCUCAUGCUCAUGGAGUGGCCGAUAUCUGAUUAGCUAGUUGGUGAGGUAAAGGCUCACCAAGGCGACGAUCAGUAGCUGGUUUGAGAGAACGACCAGCCACACUGGAACUGAGACACGGUCCAGACUCCUACGGGAGGCAGCAGUGGGGAAUUUUGGACAAUGGGGGCAACCCUGAUCCAGCAAUGCCGCGUGAGUGAAGAAGGCCUU
rnacentral:rRNA from 1 species